rnacentral:rRNA from 1 species
UACGUGGGGUGCGAGCGUUGUUCGGAAUUACUGGGCGUAAAGCGUGCGCAGGCGGUUCGACAAGUCCGAUGUGAAAGCCCCGGGCUCAACCUGGGAAUGGCAUUGGAAACUGGCGAGCUUGAGUGUGGCAGAGGGGGGUGGAAUUCCGCGUGUAGCAGUGAAAUGCGUAGAGAUGCGGAGGAACACCGAUGGCGAAGGCAGCCCCCUGGGCUGACACUGACGCUCAGGCACGAAAGCGUGGGGAGCAAACAGG